rnacentral:rRNA from 1 species
AGUGAACGCUGGCGGUAGGCCUAACACAUGCAAGUCGAACGGCAGCACAGUAAGAGCUUGCUCUUACGGGUGGCGAGUGGCGGACGGGUGAGGAAUACAUCGGAAUCUACUUUUUCGUGGGGGAUAACGUAGGGAAACUUACGCUAAUACCGCAUACGACCUACGGGUGAAAGCAGGGGAUCUUCGGACCUUUCGCGAUUGAAUGAGCCGAUGUCGGAUUAGCUAGUUGGCGGGGUAAAGGCCCACCAAGGCGACGAUCCGUAGCUGGUCUGAGAGGAUGAUCAGCCACACUGGAACUGAGACACGGUCCAGACUCCUACGGGAGGCAGCAGUGGGGAAUUUUGGGCAAUGGGCGAAAGCCUGAUGCAGCCAUGCCGCGUGGGUGAAGAAGGCCUUCGGGUUGUAAAACCCUUUUAUUGGGGAAGAAAAGACGCAAGAUUAAACCCCCGCAUUUUGACGGUACCCAAACAAAAAGCCACGGCUAACUUCGUG